AUGCUCGCCCAAGGUAUCAUCCGUGCGAGUUGUUCCGCAUUCUCGUCCCCGGUACUGCUGGUCCGCAAGGCCGACGGGUCCUGGCGCUUCUGCAUCGAUUAUCGCGCCCUGAACGCCAUUACUGUCAAGAAUGCGUUCCCGAUUCCGGUGGUGGACGAACUCCUCGACGAGCUACGGCACGCUCGUUUCUUCACCAAGCUCGAUUUACGUUCCGGCUACCACCAGGUGCGGAUGCGUGAGGAGGACAUCCCGAAGACAGCUUUCCGUACUCAUGACGGCCUCUACGAGUUUCUGGUGAUGCCGUUCGGACUCUGCAACGCGCCGGCCACGUUCCAGGCCCUCAUGAAUGAUCUGCUGCGGCCAUACCUGCGCCGUUUUGUUCUCGUCUUCUUUGACGACAUCCUCAUUUUCAGCGAGACAUGGGCUGACCAUCUCCGACAUGUGCGCACCGUCUUCACGGUCCUGCACCAGCACCGGCUCUUCGUCAAGCGCUCCAAAUGCGCGUUCGCCGUUGAAUCAAUCGCAUACCUGGGUCACACCAUCUCCGCUGCAGGCGUGGCCAUGGAUCCGGAAAAGGUGCAGGCAGUAGCGGACUGGCCGCAACCACGCUCGGCGCGCGCGGUUCGGGGCUUUCUCGGCCUUGCGGGGUACUACCGCAAGUUUGUCAAGGACUUUGGCGUGGUUGCCGCGCCCCUGACGGCCCUCCUUCGCAAGGAUGGUUUCUCUUGGUCACCGGAGGCGGCAGCAGCUUUUACCACCCUCAAGACGGCAAUCACCACGGCUCCCGUCCUCGCGUUACCGGAUUUUACACGGCCGUUCAUCAUCGAGUGUGACGCAUCGACGUACGGUUUCGGGGCCGUCCUUCUUCAGGACCACCACCCGGUGGCUUUCUUUAGCCGGCCAGCCGCGCCACGUCACCGUUCCCUGGCAGCGUAUGAACGGGAACUCAUCGGCCUGGUGCUCGCGAUUCGCCAUUGGAGGCCGUACCUAUGGGGGCGUCAAUUUGUGGUAAAAACGGAUCAUUACAGCCUCAAAUUUCUGCUUGACCAGCGUUUGGCCACCAUCCCGCAGCAUCAUUGGGUUGGCAAACUCCUGGGAUUCGACUUUACGGUGGAGUACAAGGCAGGUAGUACCAACACGGUGGCGGAUGCACUUUCCCGCCGUGACACGGAGGAGACGACGAUCAUGACGGUCUCAGGGCCUCGUUUCAACUUCAUCAAUCGCCUCCGGCAAGCGACGUCCACUGAUCCGGCGCUCGUCGCACUGCGGGAGGAUAUCACGGCAGGUGCGCGGCAACAACCUUGGGCGCUCUCCGACGGCCUCGUUACCUUCAACGGCCGCCUCUACAUUCCGCCGUCAUCCCCGCUACUCCAGGAGAUUCUCAGUGCCGUGCACGAUGAUGGGCAUGAAGGCGUCCUGCGCACAUUGCAUCGUCUUCGCCGCGAUUUCCACGCACCUAACCUUCGCAAGACGGUGCAGGAGUACAUCCGCACUUGCGGUACUUGCCAGCGGUACAAGUCCGAGCACUUGCACCCUGCUGGGCUGCUCCUGCCGCUGCCGGUACCCACGGGCGUGUGGACUGACAUCGGCAUCGACUUCGUGGAAGCGCUUCCUCGAGUAGGCGGGAAGUCUGUCAUCCUCACCGUGGUGGAUCGCUUCAGCAAGUAUUGCCAUUUUGUGGCGUUAGCCCACCCAUACACGGCAGAGUCAGUGGCACAGGUGUUCUUCGCUGAGGUUGUUCGUCUCCACGGCGUACCACAGUCCAUGGUCUCUGACCGCGACCCCGUCUUCACCUCCGCUUUUUGGCAAGAGCUCAUGCGCCUCACGGGGACAAAGCUGCACAUGACGUCCGCAUUUCACCCGCAGUCGGAUGGGCAAAUGGAGGCUGCUAACAAGAUCAUUGUGAUGUAUUUACGGUGUCUUACCGGGGAUCGUCCCAAGCAGUGGCUCCGGUGGCUUCCCUGGGCUGAGUACAUAUACAACACCGCCUACCAGACAGCAACCCAAGAGACUCCGUUCAAGCUUGUGUAUGGCCGUGACCCUCCCACUAUUCGCUCUUACGAGCCCGGCGACACACGGGUGGCUGCAGUGGCCAGGAGCAUGGCUGAGCGCGACGAACUUAUCGAGGACGUCCGCUAUCGUCUACAACAGGCACAGGCGGUCUAUAAGUCCUACUACGACAGACGUCAUCGGGACAUUCGGCAUGAGGUGGGCGAUUGGGUUUGGCUUCGCCUUCGACAGCGCGCCGCGUCCUCUCUCAACUUGCCAACCAGGGGCAAGCUCAAGCCACGAUUCUAUGGGCCGUACCGCAUUUCAGAAGUGAUCAACGACGUGGCAUACCGUCUUGAGCUUCCGGCGCGCUCGCGCCUCCAUGACGUGUUCCACGUGGGCCUCCUCAAGAAGUUCUUCGGCAUUCCUCCAACUACACCGCCGGGAUUGCCUUCGAUCCACAACGGGGCGGCUGUUCCAGAACCAGAGCGCGUGACUCGUGCGCGCCUAGCACGCGGCGUUCGCCAGCUACUCGUCCACUGGAAGGGUGAAGCAGCUUCGUCAGCUACAUGGGAGGAUCUUGACAGUUUCAUCGAGCGCUACCCCGCUUUUCAGCUCGAGGACGAGCUGCUCGUCGAGGGGGGGAGAGAUGUCAUGUGGGGCACGUCUUACAGACGUGGGCCGCGCGGCCAGGAGCAGCCGACGGCCGCAUCAGGCAAGGCGCAGGCUGGACAGGAGUCCUGA
rnacentral:rRNA from 1 species